ensembl:snRNA U1 U1 spliceosomal RNA
AUUCUUACUUGUGGGUUUCCCUGAACAAGGUUCAUCCGUUGCACCUGGGAUGUACUGGCUUCUGCCAUUUCCCCACAAGUAGAAAGCUGGAUUGCACAAUGUGUGGUAGUGGGAAACUGUGUUUGACUGCUCACCC